CAUUGAAAAACUGGUUCCCAUACGAACACCGAAGUUAAGCAACGUCGAGCCUGUUCAGUACCUUGAUAGGUAACCCUUUGGCAAUACCACGUGCUGUAAG